GCUAGGCAUGGUGGCGCAUGCCUGUAAUCCCAGCUACUCAGGAGGCUGAGGCACGAGAAUUGCUUGAACCCGGGAGGCGGAGGUUGCAGUGAGCCGAGAUUGCACCACUGUACUCCAGCCUGGGUGAUAGAGCAAGACUCUGUCUCAA
rnacentral:SRP_RNA from 1 species